rnacentral:pre_miRNA from 1 species
AUGUAGGGCAAUCUGUCUCUUGGUAGGAAUAAAUUACUAUUUAAAAAAAAGAUCCUAGUUUUCCCUUCAAGUCAAGCAUCUUGU